UACGGAGGGUGCGAGCGUUACCCGGAUUUACUGGGUGUAAAGGGCGCGUAGGCGGUUGUCUAAGUCCGAUGCUAAAGACCGAAGCUCAACUUCGGGAGUGCGUUGGAUACUGGAGAGCUAGACGGUCGGAGAGGGUAGCGGAAUGGUCAGAGUAGCGGUGAAAUGCGCAGAUACUGAUCGGAACGCCAAUAGCGAAAGCAGCUACCUGGACGACAAGUGACGCUGAGGCGCGAAAGCGUGGGGAGCAAACCGG
rnacentral:rRNA from 1 species